rnacentral:misc_RNA from 1 species
GAAAGUUCUUUAAUUUAAUGUUGUUCAUUUGAAAAUGCCUAUGUAUUAGCAUUUGGUCUGCUGAUGAGAGCUCUCUUUAGGUAAAAAAUAAUACCGAAUGAUGGUAUAUAACAUGACUAAAUUAUAUGAAAUAAAUCACAAAUGAGUUGGCUAAGAGAAAGGAGGUUUUGACCUAUUACUGUCAAGAUGGUGGUUGAAAUUCUUUUUGAAAUAAGUGUUACGUAAAUUGUCCAGUGAACUUUUCAUGAAAAGUAGACUUUCUCAAACAAUAUUUAAAAGAAAAAAAAAAUCAUCAUUAAAGCAUAAUAACUAACCUCAUUUGAGCAAGGGCUGGGGAUCUAAUGAGAGCGAGUGUCACUCCAUUAUUUGGAUAAUGGCCUAGUGAGAGUCAUGAUAGGUAAAUGAUAUAUAUAUAUAUAUAUAUCU